CGUGGGAGCAGUGGGGUUCGACGGCGCGGCCGCCAGGCCGCCAUGGCCGCUCACGGGAAGCUGCGGCGGGAGCGGGGGCUGCAGGCUGAGUAUGAGACGCAAGUCAAAGAGAUGCGCUGGCAGCUGAGCGAGCAGCUGCGCUGCCUGGAGCUGCAGGGCGAGCUGCGGCGGGAGUUGCUGCAGGAACUGGCAGAGUUCAUGCGGCGCCGCGCUGAGGUGGAGCUGGAAUACUCCCGGGGCCUGGAAAAGCUGGCCGAGCGCUUCUCCAGCCGUGGAGGCCGCCUGGGGAGCAGCCGGGAGCACCAAAGCUUCCGGUAGGUGAUGUGCUGGCAGGGGGGCCACGGCAGGGCCCAAGCUCCGCUCCCAGGUCUCAGUGCCCCUCUACCCCCAGGAAGGAGCCGUCCCUCCUGUCGCCGUUGCACUGCUGGGCAGUGCUGCUGCAGCACACGCGGCAGCAGAGCCGGGAGAGCGCGGCCCUGAGCGAGGUGCUGGCCGGGCCCCUGGCCCAGCGCCUGAGUCACAUUGCAGAGGACGUGGGACGCCUGGUCAAGAAGGUGGCUGAGAUCUGCGUUGAAAUGGAGCUGCGGGACGAGAUUCUGCCCAGAGCCCAGAAUAUCCAGAGCCGCCUGGACCGACAGACCAUUGAGACGGAGGAGGUGAACAAGACUCUGAAGGCGACACUGCAGGCCCUGCUGGAGGUGGUGGCCUCGGAUGACGGGGAUGUGCUUGACUCCUUCCAGACCAGCCCCUCCACCGAGUCCCUCAAGUCCACCAGCUCAGACCCAGGCAGCCGGCAGGCGGGCCGGAGGCGCGGCCAGCAGCAGGAGACGGAAACCUUCUACCUCACGGUGGGGAGGGCUGGGCUGGUGGGCGAGACCCGUGGGGGCGUUGCUGGGGCAGAGGGAGGGGCUCAAGCCAGGGCUAACACUUGGGGCUCUUCUUGGGGCUGCCCAGAAGCUCCAGGAGUAUCUGAGUGGACGGAGCAUCCUCGCCAAGCUGCAGGCCAAGCACGAGAAGCUGCAGGAGGCCCUUCAGCGAGGUGACAAGGAGGAGCAGGAGAUGUCUUGGACCCAGUACACGCAGAGAAAAUUCCAGAAGAGCCGCCACCCCCGCCCCAGCUCCCAGUAUAACCAGAGACUCUUUGGGGGAGACAUGGAGAAGUUUAUCCAGAGCUCAGGCCAGCCUGUGCCCCUGGUGGUGGAGAGCUGCAUUCGCUUCAUCAACCUCAACGGCCUGCAGCAUGAAGGCAUCUUCCGGGUAUCGGGUGCCCAGCUCCGGGUCUCAGAGAUCCGUGAUGCCUUCGAGAGAGGGGAGGACCCACUGGUGGAGGGCUGCACUGCCCAUGACCUGGACUCGGUGGCCGGGGUGCUGAAGCUCUACUUCCGGAGCCUGGAGCCCCCACUUUUCCCCCCAGACCUGUUCGGCGAGCUGCUGGCUUCUUCGGAGCUGGAGGCCACGGCGGAGAGGGUGGAGCACGUGAGCCGCCUGCUGUGGCGGCUGCCCGCGCCGGUGCUGGUGGUUCUGCGCUACCUCUUCACCUUCCUCAACCACCUGGCCCAGUACAGUGAUGAGAACAUGAUGGACCCCUACAACCUGGCCGUGUGCUUCGGGCCCACGCUGCUACCGGUGCCCGCUGGGCAGGACCCGGUGGCACUGCAGGGCCGGGUGAACCAGCUGGUGCAGACGCUCAUAGUGCAGCCCGAUCGGGUCUUCCCGCCCCUGACCUCGCUGCCUGGCCCUGUCUACGAGAAGUGCAUGGCACCGCCUUCCGCCAGCUGCCUGGGGGACGCCCAGCUGGAGAUCCUGGGGGCAGACAACGAGCCGGAGCUGGAAGCUGAGAUGCCCGCACAGGAGGAUGACCUGGAGGGGGUCGUGGAGGCUGUGGCCUGCUUUGCCUACACGGGCCGCACAGCCCAGGAGCUGAGCUUCCGGCGGGGGGACGUACUGCGGCUGCACGAGAGGGCCUCGAGCGACUGGUGGCGGGGGGAGCACAAUGGCAUGCGGGGCCUCAUCCCCCACAAGUAUAUCAUGCUGCCCACGGGGACAGAGAAGCAGGUGGUGGGCGCAGGGCCGCAGACUGCAGGGGAGUCUGGGAGCAGUCCCGAGGGCCUCCUGGCAUCAGAGCUGGUCCACCGGCCAGAGCCAUGCACCUCACCCGAGGCCGCGGGACCCUCUGGACACAGACGACGCUGCUUGGUCCCAGCCUCCCCAGAGCAACACGUGGAGGUGGAUAAGGCUGUGGCACAGAACAUGGACUCUGUGUUUAAGGAGCUCUUGGGAAAAACCUCUGUCCGCCAGGGCCUUGGGCCAGCAUCUACCACCUCUCCCAGUCCUCGGCCCCGAAGCCCAAAGGCACCGGCCAGCAGCCGCCUGGGCAGGAACAAAGGCUUCUCCCGGGGCCCUGGGGCCCCAGCCUCACCCUCAGCAUCCCAUCCCCAGGGCCUAGACACAACCCCCAAGCCACACUGAGGUGCUGCUGCUGGAGAUGCAUGCCCCUGGCGGCUACCUGCUGGACUGGCCACUCUCCCCAGCCCCCUUGCUUCUCUCCAGCCCUGUCCAGCAAGUGCAGGGUGCCUGCACUUCACCCUGUGCAGAGAGGUGGGAUGGGGCCGCGCAUACACGGAUGCCCGCUCCACAUCCUGCCUGCCCCUCAGCCCUGGCCCAGGCCCCUUUUGGAGGCAGCUGAGGAAGGAUGCUGGGGAAAGCCCUCUUCUGCAGCUUUGUGGAAGGCUGAUCAGUGGCUG
rnacentral:sRNA from 1 species